rnacentral:rRNA from 1 species
CCRACCUGGCUCACGCCGGUCUAAACUCAGAUCAUGUAAAAUUUUAAAGGUCGAACAGACCUAAUAUAUUAGCUUCUACACCAAUAAUUAAUUUUAAUCCAACAUCGAGGUCGCAAUCUUUUUUUUCGAUAAGAACUCUAAAAAAAAUUACGCUGUUAUCCCUAAGGUAAUUAAAUCUUAUAAUCUAAAUUUUAGGAUCAACUAUUCACAAAUAAAUGUUCUUAUACAAAAAAAGUUAUUUUAGUUUUUUCAUCACCCCAAUAAAAUACUUAAUUUUAAAACAAACUUUCUAUACCUUAAAGUAAAUUAUUAAAAUAAAUAUAAAACUCUAUAGGGUCUUCUCGUCUUCUAUAUAAAUUUAAGCUUUUUUACUUAAAAAUAAAAUUCUAAUAAACUAUUACAGAGACAGAAUUUUUCUCAUCAAACCUUUCAUUCAAGCUUUCAAUUAAAAAACUAAUGAUUAUGCUACCUUUGCACGGUCAGUAUACCGCGGCCAUUUAACUCCUCAGUGGGCAGGUCAGACCUAAAAUUAUAUUCAACAGGCCAUGUUUU